UCAGGAAUAUUGGACAAUGGAGGMAACUCUGACCCAGCCAUGCCGCGUGCAGGAAGACUGCCCUAUGGGUUGUAAACUCCUUUUAUAUAGGAAGAAACCUUCUCCACGUGUGAGAAUUUGACGGUACUAUAAGAAUAAGGACCGGCUAACUCCGUGCCAGCAGCCGCGGUAAUACGGAGGGUCCGAGCGUUAUCCGGAAUCAUUGGGUUUAAAGGGUCCGUAGGCGGAAAUUHAAGUCAGUGGUGAAAUCUUGCAGCUCACUGUAAAAUUGCCWUUGAUACUGAUUAUCUUGADUUAGUGUGAAGUGGUUAGAAUUGUAGUGUAGCGGUGAAAUGCAUAUAUAUGACAGAGAAUACCGAUUGCGAAGGCAGCUCACUACAAUAUAUUGACUGAGGGWCGAAAGAGUGGGGAGCGAACAGAUUAGAUACCCCGUGGUAGUCCACGCCGUAAACGAUGGCUACUAGGUUGGCGAGCACUCUGUCAGUGGCUAAGCGAAAGUGAUAAG
rnacentral:rRNA from 1 species